GAUGAACGCUGGCGGCGUGCCUAAUACAUGCAAGUCGAACGCUGAAGCUUGGUGCUUGCACCGAGCGGAUGAGUUGCGAACGGGUGAGUAACGCGUAGGUAACCUGCCUCUUAGCGGGGGAUAACUAUUGGAAACGAUAGCUAAUACCGCAUAAAAGUCGCUAUCGCAUGAUAUUGAUUUGAAAGGUGCAAAUGCAUCACUAAGAGAUGGACCUGCGUUGUAUUAGCUAGUUGGUGAGGUAACGGCUCACCAAGGCGACGAUACAUAGCCGACCUGAGAGGGUGAUCGGCCACACUGGGACUGAGACACGGCCCAGACUCCUACGGGAGGCAGCAGUAGGGAAUCUUCGGCAAGGGGGGCAACCCUGAACGAGCAACGCCGCGUGAGUGAAGAAGGUUUUCGGAUCGUAAAGCUCUGUUGUAAGAGAAGAACGAGUGUGAGAGUGGAAAGUUCACACUGUGACGGUAACUUACCAGAAAGGGACGGCUAACUACGUG
rnacentral:rRNA from 1 species